rnacentral:rRNA from 1 species
GAUGAACGCUGGCGGCGUGCCUAAUACAUGCAAGUCGAGCGAACAGACGAGGAGCUUGCUCCUCUGACGUUAGCGGCGGACGGGUGAGUAACACGUGGAUAACCUACCUAUAAGACUGGGAUAACUUCGGGAAACCGGAGCUAAUACCGGAUAAUAUAUUGAACCGCAUGGUUCAAUAGUGAAAGACGGUUUUGCUGUCACUUAUAGAUGGAUCCGCGCCGCAUUAGCUAGUUGGUAAGGUAACGGCUUACCAAGGCAACGAUGCGUAGCCGACCUGAGAGAGUGAUCGGCCACACUGGAACGGAGACACGGUCCAGACUCCUACGGGAGGCAGCAGUAGGGAAUCUGCCGCAAAGGGCGAAAGCCUGACGGAGCAACGCCGCGUGAGUGAUGAAGGUCUUCGGAUCGUAAAACUCUGUUAUUAGGGAAGAACAAAUGUGUAAGUAACUAUGCACGUCUUGACGGUACCUAAUCAGAAAGCCACGGCUAACUACGUG